CUGCUGCCUGGAGGAGGAGGAGGAGGAGGAGGAGGUGCUGGAGAGGCUAAACCUAAGAUCUGUCCGAACGGACUGCUGCCUGGAGGAGGAGGAGGAGGUGCUGGAGAGGCUAAACCUAAGAUCUGUCUGAACGGACUGCUGCCUGGAGGAGGAGGAGGAGGAGGAGGUGCUGGAGAGGCUAAACCUAAGCUCUGUCCGAACGGUCUGCUGCCUGGAGGAGGAGGAGGAGGUGCUGGAGAGGCUAAACCUAAGCUCUGUCCGAACAGACUGCUGCCUGUAGGAGGAGGAGGAGGAGGUGCUGGAGAGGCUAAACCUAAGCUCUGUCCGAACAGACUGCUGCCUAGAGGAGGAGAAAGAGGUGCUGGAGAGGCUAAACCAAAGCCUUGUCCGAACAAACUGCUGCCUAGAGGAGGAGGAGGAGGU